rfam:Strongyloides papillosus strain LIN genome assembly, scaffold: SPAL_contig0001282
UGACUUUGAGUGUAUAGUGCUCGCUUUGCAUGCGAGAAGCCGCGAGUUCAACUCUCGC